rnacentral:lncRNA from 1 species
GGGACUAGGAGGCUGCAAACCAUACUGACAUGUGACUUACCAGUUCCAGAACCAGAAACACAUCUCUCCCCAACAGGGCAUAUGCAGCUUUCUGCAGGAGAGCUGGUUACCAGCAGCGUUGCAGUGAUGCUGUCCGGCCUUGGGUCCUGCUGCUGCUCUCACUGAAAUCAGCAGUGACUUCAGCAGUUCAGGACUGGACCACAAACUCUAUAGCAUUUCUGGGAUCCUUCAAGAUGAAAAGCACUCCACGUGGACCUGCAGGAGCGGCAGCUUGAAUUUCAGAAGACGCUGGCUGAGGUGCCCACUUCAGAGAAACAACUGUGAAUGCCCAUGAGCAACAGAGCUGAAUCUCAGUUAGGAGUCGACAAAAAGGACAGCAGGGAAUAUUAAAACUGACAAGUAAGUGAAAGAAUAUUACUUUAUCUACUUAGGCUGGAGGAGCUGAGAACAUUUUUCACAGGGGAAUAUACACAUGUGACUUCCCAAAGGGGACGCGCUUUCUGCUCUUCAGCCCCGGUCUGUGAGCAUGUAGGUAUCAGUCCUGCUGUACUGUUGAAAGUGGGGGUCUGCUCUCAGGGUUACCUCUUGCAUUUUCAAAGAGCUGGUGUUAGCUAACAGCUUUCUUUAUGAAAUGUGUCUUACAGCCUGGGAUCCUUUCAGCUGAUCCCCUUUGGGCACUGGGAAAUUUA